AGUGAACGCUGGCGGUAGGCCUAACACAUGCAAGUCGAACGGCAGCACAGUAAGAGCUUGCUCUUACGGGUGGCGAGUGGCGGACGGGUGAGGAAUACAUCGGAAUCUACUUUUUCGUGGGGGAUAACGUAGGGAAACUUACGCUAAUACCGCAUACGACCUACGGGUGAAAGCAGGGGAUCUUCGGACCUUGCGCGAUUGAAUGAGCCGAUGUCGGAUUAGCUAGUUGGCGGGGUAAAGGCCCACCAAGGCGACGAUCCGUAGCUGGUCUGAGAGGAUGAGCAGCCACACUGGAACUGAGACACGGUCCAGACUCCUACGGGAGGCAGCAGUGGGGAAUUUUGGACAAUGGGCGCAAGCCUGAUCCAGCCAUACCGCGUGGGUGAAGAAGGCCUUCGGGUUGUAAAGCCCUUUUGUUGGGAAAGAAAAGCAGCAGGUUAAUACCCCGCUGUUCUGACGGUACACAAAGAAUAAGCACCGGCUAACUUCGUG
rnacentral:rRNA from 1 species